CACGCUGAAACACCGGUUCUCGUACGAUCACCGAAGUUAAGCAGCGUAGAGCCAGGUCAGUACUUAGAUGGGGGACCGCUUGGGAACACCUGGUACUGUAAG
rnacentral:rRNA from 1 species